AGGGAUGUCGCACAUGAGGAAAUGACUGCCGCUACCGUGGAGAUGGGAGAAGUCAUCGAUGACUUGGGUGUUGGGCUCAUGCCCGAUGCUUCGCCAUCCUUACGCUCAAGAAUUGCUACAUUUCCCGAUGAGCCCUGAUGCAUCCAACACAGAUAACCAGGACCAGAGUGCCGAUAGUGAUAUGAACAGAGAGAGUAGUUCCUUAUUCAAAUUUCAGACCACUGCUGCAUCUACUGCUUGCACACCAUUAAAUCAGCAAAGAGUCUACAAGGCUUUGAAAAAAAAAAACAGGCA